UGGGGAAUUUUGGACAAUGGGGGCAACCCUGAUCCAGCCAUGCCGCGUGCGGGAAGAAGGCCUUCGGGUUGUAAACCGCUUUCGGACGGAAAGAAAUCGCCAUCUCUAACAUAGGUGGUGGAUGACGGUACCGUAAGAAGAAGCACCGGCUAACUACGUGCCAGCAGCCGCGGUAAUACGUAGGGUGCGAGCGUUAAUCGGAAUUACUGGGCGUAAAGCGUGCGCAGGCGGAUAUGUAAGUCAGAUGUGA
rnacentral:rRNA from 1 species